rnacentral:rRNA from 1 species
UGUGCCAGCAGCCGCGGUAAUACAGAGGGUGCAAACGUUGCUCGGAAUUAUUGGGCGUAAAGCGCGUGUAGGCGGCUUGUUAAGUCGGUUGUGAAAACCCAUGGCUCAACCAUGGAAGGGCGUCCGAAACUGGCAAGCUAGAGUCCCGACGAGGAUGGCGGAAUUCCCAGUGUAGAGGUGAAAUUCGUAGAUAUUGGGAGGAACACCGGUGGCGAAGGCGGCCAUCUGGGAGGGCACUGACGCUGAGACGCGAAAGCGUGGGGAGCAAACAGGAUUAGAUACCCUGGUAGUCCACGCCGUAAACGAUGAGCACUAGAUGUUGCGGGUAUUGACCCCUGCAGUGUCGACGCUAACGCAUUAAGUGCUCCGCCUGGGGAGUACGGCCGCAAGGCUAAAACUCAAAGGAAUUGACGGG